AUGAACGCUGGCGGCGUGCCUAAUACAUGCAAGUCGAGCGAACAGAUGAGGAGCUUGCUCCUCUGACGUUAGCGGCGGACGGGUGAGUAACACGUGGAUAACCUACCUAUAAGACUGGGAUAACUUCGGGAAACCGGAGCUAAUACCGGAUAAUAUAUUGAACCGCAUGGUUCAAUAGUGAAAGACGGUUUUGCUGUCACUUAUAGAUGGAUCCGCGCCGCAUUAGCUAGUUGGUAAGGUAACGGCUUACCAAGGCAACGAUGCGUAGCCGACCUGAGAGGGUGAUCGGCCACACUGGAACUGAGACACGGUCCAGACUCCUACGGGAGGCAGCAGUAGGGAAUCUUCCGCAAUGGGCGAAAGCCUGACGGAGCAACGCCGCGUGAGUGAUGAAGGUCUUCGGAUCGUAAAACCCUGUUAUUAGGGAAGAACAAAUGUGUAAGUAACUAUGCACGUCUUGACGGUACCUAAUCAGAAAGCCACGGCUAACUACGUG
rnacentral:rRNA from 1 species